rnacentral:rRNA from 1 species
AGAGUUUGAUCAUGGCUCAGGAUGAACGCUAGCGGCAGGCCUAAUACAUGCAAGUCGAACGCUCAGUAGCAAUACUGGGAGUGGCGCACGGGUGCGUAACGCGUACACAAUCUACCUCUAAGCGGGGGACACCUCCUGGAAACGGGGAUUAAUACCGCAUAAUAUGCCGAAGUCGCAUGACUUUGGUAUUAAAGCAGCAAUGCACUUAGAGAUGAGUGUGCGUCCCAUUAGGUAGUUGGUGAGGUAACGGCUCACCAAGCCUAUGAUGGGUAGCCGGUCUGAGAGGAUGGUCGGCCACACGGGCACUGAGACACGGGCCCGACUCCUACGGGAGGCAGCAGUAAGGAAUAUUGGUCAAUGGUGGAAACACUGAACCAGCCAUGCCGCGUGGAGGAAUAAGGUCCUACGGAUUGUAAACUCCUUUUGACGAGGAAGAAAAUGUUAGAUUUAUCUAAUUUUGACGGUACUUGUAGAAUAAGCACCGGCUAACUCCGUG